rnacentral:miRNA from 1 species
UCUAUUGCAACGUUCAAAAAAUGUUGCAAUAGAUAGGCUAUUGCAACAUCUUUUCAAUGUUGCAAAAGUC